UGCAAUGGCAGGGCCAUGCUUCCUCUGAAGUCUCUAGAUAAGGAUCUUUUCUUGCCUCUGCACCCUUCUGGUGCCCCACCCACCCACCCGCCAUCCGGGCAUUCCUCGGUUUGCAGCUGCAACCGUUCAGUCUCUGCCUCUGUCACAGGGUGUUCUUCACCCGUGUGCCUCUGUCUUCACCUUGCGUCUCCUCUUAUAAGGACACCAGUCCUGUUGGAUGGGGCCCACCCUGAUGACUUCAUCCUAACUUGAUUACAUCUGCAAGGACACUAUCUUCCAGGAACAGGAAGGCCACUGAAGAGCGUUCAUCCUGGGAACUAGAGAAUCUUUACAAAGAUCCGUCUGCAAUGUGGAAAAUGGGUGCAAGAGAGCUGGACUGCUGGCUGAGAUGGCCUUCCAGCCUGGAGUGGAUGUUGGCCUGAAUCAAGAAAGAGGCAGUGGGGACAGAGAAGAGGCUGGAUUUGGGAGAGGAGGUGGAACCGGAGCAUCCACAGGACCCGAUGAUGCUUUGGCUGUGAGCUAAGGGAAGGAAAAAGCACUGGUUGAGGGCUCUUGGAACCCAAAGCAGGACACCAAUCCCAAUUUCACAGGGACUGAGCUUAUACACUUCCCUCAAGGAAAAAGAUUGAUGGUGUACUGAUUCCUGGGAUUGAGGAUUUCCCCACGAGGAUCAGUGCUGCUGCUGCUGCUUCUUCUUCUUCUUCUUCUUCUUCUUCUUCAGUCCAUUCAUUUA